GACGAACGCUGGCGGCGUGCCUAACACAUGCAAGUCGAACGCUGAAGCGUGGUGCUUCCUCUUCUUGGAUGAGACGCGAACGGGUGACUAACGCGUAGGUCACCUGCCUUGUAGCGGGGGAUAACUAUUGGAACUGAUAGCUAAUACCGCAUACCAAUGGAUGCCGCAUGUCAUUUAUUUGCAAGGGGCAAUUGCUCCACUUCAAGAUGGACCUGCGUUGUAUUAGCUAGUAUGUGAGGUACGGGCUCACCUAGGCGAACAUACAUAGCCGGCCUGAGAGGGUGGACGGGCACACUGGGACUGGGACACGGGCCAGGCUCCUUCGGGCAGCAGGAGGAGGGAAUCUUUGGCAAUGGGGGCAACGCUGAACGCAGAAAGCCGGGGGAGUGGAGGAGGGUGUCGGAUCGGAAAGCUCAGUUUUUAGUGAAGAACGAGUGUGAGACUAGAAAGGACGCGUUGUGACGGUAGCUUAAGAAAAAGCAACGGCUAACUACGUG
rnacentral:rRNA from 1 species